UUCCGGUUGAUCCUGCCGGACCCCACUGCUAUCGGGAUAGGACUAAGACAUGCUAGUCAAGCGCUCGCCAGCCAAAGGUGAGUGCGGCGCACAGCUCAGUAACACGUGGCUAACCUGCCCUUGGGACGAAGACACCCCCGGGAAACUGGGGCUAAUCCUCGAUAGGUGAAGAACUCUGGAAUGAGUCUCCACCUAAAAGGCGCUUGCGCUAUGCUCGCAGGUGUCGCCCAAGGAUGGGGCCGCGACCGAUCAGGUUGUUGGUGAGGUAACGGCUCACCAAGCCUUUUACCGGUGCGGGCCGUGGGAGCGGGAGCCCGGAGAUGGGCACUGAGACAAGGGCCCAGGCCCUACGGGGCGCAGCAGUCGCGAAAACUUUGCAAUACACGAAAGUGUGACAGGGCUAUCCCGAGUGCCAUCCGCUGAGGAAGGCUUUUACCCAGUUUAGAACGCUGGGGGAAUAAGGAGAGGGCAAGACUGGUGUCAGCCGCCGCGGUAAUACCAGCUCUCCGAGUGGUGUGGAUGUUUAUUGGGCCUAAAGCAUCCGUAGCUGGCCAAGUUAGUCCCCUGUUAAAUCCACCGAUUCAAUCGUUGGAGUGCGGGGGAUACUGCUCGGCUAGGGGACGGGAGAGGCAGACGGUAUUUCCGGGGUAGGGGUGAAAUCCUAUAAUCCCGGGAAGACCACCAGUGGCGAAGGCUGUCUGCUAGAACGCGCCCGACGGUGAGGGAUGAAAGCUGGGGGAGCGAACCGGAUUAGAUACCCGGGUAGUCCCAGCUGUAAACGAUGCACGCUAGGUGUUUGGACGGCCACGUGCCGUUCUAGUGCCGCAGGGAAGCCGUUAAGCCUGCCGCCUGGGGAGUACGGUCGCAAGGCUGAAACUUAAAGGAAUUGGCGGGGGAGCACCACAAGGGGUGAAGCUUGCGGUUUAAUUGGAGUCAACGCCGGAA
rnacentral:rRNA from 1 species